rnacentral:lncRNA from 1 species
CUUAUAUUGUGCAGUGCCUCCUCCAAGAGAUGAUAAAUUCAGUUUCACUGGUCUUCUAUUCCUGCUCUCUACGUUACUCUCUAAUGUCUCAAUCUGCCUGUAGGACUCAGCACACACUCAACUUUUAGCUGAAUGCACUACUUGUGAGUUUACAUGGGUCAAAUUUGGCUGGAAUGAAUUAAGAUGGAUAAUGAUGUUCCUCUUUCUUGUCAGUCUUUGUGAUCCACAUCCCUAAAAGCUUUUUUUUUUUUUUUUUAGGGCUUGGCAACAGUUACCAUGGUGUUCUCAGGGAUGUUUUUGAGGUCCAGCCUCUGGAUCUGUUUUAAUGCAGAAGACUUCAGGCUCAAGAGCUUCUGGCUUGAUAAUAUUUCAGACAGAGGAGGUAGGUGGCAGAGGAAGACUGCAGCUUGAGAGAGUAAGUGUCUCGAUGCAAGGAAACCAGAAAAUCAUAUUUUCAGCAGAGCACAAACAGGUAAGGGAUGUGGUUUUUAAUGCC